UAUCUGGCACUGGGAGCAUAUGUGGCACUGGGAGCACGGCCCUAGCAACAAGCACUACCCACUAGCAACGAGCAUGACACCCAGUGCAUGAAACCCCUGGCAACGAGCAUGACAUCCUGGCACUGUGCAUGGAACCAAGUGCAUGAAACCCCUGGCAACAAGCAGGUAACUGAAGAUGGCUUUGACAAAAGAUGAGAGAAAUUAGGUCAUUUUGAUGUCAAACGUUGUGUGCUGCAUUGUGGGCUCUUCACGAAGGAUGCCAAAAGCAUUGUUGAGGUUGUCUCGUCAGUAGCCCUUUUGGACGUCUCUAAAAGAUAGCCCACCUCACCCAUACCUUACUGCAGUAUUAACUUUUCCCAUUUCCUGCACAGUUUUUUAAACAAAAGAGUGUGCUGCGACUUAUGAAUCACCCUGUAUAAUUUUAAUGACUAUAAAUAUGCUUAUGGAGAGGCAGAUUUAUUUUAUUGAUAAUGGAUACUAUACUUCUGUUCCCACGAGCGCUGCUAUAUAUUUAUUACUAUUAUUCAAUUGUAAUAACCUAUUUUCAAUACCCGGUAUCUCCUGGUUUCUAUUUUUGAUAAAUAGGCAGGAUUCUUAAUUUUGCCUAAGUGAUAUGAAAAAUAAUAAUUUUCACUUGUUUUAAGGACAGAAUAUGAAGUACAGGCCAAAGAUUGUCUUUCUUCUAUAUAUUUGAGAAGCUGCAAUGUACCAAUAUUCUGGCUGUAAUUUUCAAUCUUUUAAUUCUGUAUGUUACCUCUUCAAUUAGCUGUGUGUGCGACCUAUGAAAGACUGUAGCCAGUGGACAUGCACAGCUGAAGGGGGAUGUCGUUAUUAUCCCGAAGCACAGCAUGCUAAUAAACAGAUCCCCAGCUCAGGAAUGCCGACUCUCAAAAUCCCAAUGGAUCCCGAAGAGAUCGUUUUACAAUUUCUAUAUAUUAUGGACAUGGGAGCGGAAUUAAUCUGGAACGCAGCAAUGGAACGCAAGCGGUGUCAGGAUGGACACUGACUUCCGGUGAUGUCAUUUCCACCUCAUAUGUAAAAUACGCGCCGGCUUUGAUGUGAUCAAUGUGAACCGCACACAUGGGGGGUAAUUCCAAGUUGAUCGCAGCAGGAAUUUUGUUAGCAGUUGGGCA